AGCGAACGCUGGCGGCAGGCUUAACACAUGCAAGUCGAGCGGGCAUCCUUGUGGUGUCAGCGGCAGACGGGUGAGUAACGCGUGGGAACGUGCCCUUCGGUUCGGAAUAACUCAGGGAAACUUGAGCUAAUACCGGAUACGUGCGAGAGCAGAAAGGUUUAUCUGCCGAAGGAUCGGCCCGCGUCUGAUUAGCUAGUUGGUGAGGUUAUGGCUCACCAAGGCGACGAUCAGUAGCUGGUCUGAGAGGAUGAUCAGCCACACUGGGACUGAGACACGGCCCCGACUCCUACGGGAGGCAGCAGUGGGGAAUAUUGGACAAUGGGGGCAACCCUGAUCCAGCCAUGCCGCGUGAGUGAUGACGGCCUUAGGGUUGUAAAGCUCUUUUCUCCGGGACGAUAAUGACGGUACCGGAGGAAUAAGCCCCGGCUAACUUCGUG
rnacentral:rRNA from 1 species